GGCCUAACACAUGCAAGUCGAGCGGAAACGACACUAACAAUCCUUCGGGUGCGUUAAUGGGCGUCGAGCGGCGGACGGGUGAGUAAUGCCUAGGAAAUUGCCUUGAUGUGGGGGAUAACCAUUGGAAACGAUGGCUAAUACCGCAUAAUGCCUACGGGCCAAAGAGGGGGACCUUCGGGCCUCUCGCGUCAAGAUAUGCCUAGGUGGGAUUAGCUAGUUGGUGAGGUAAUGGCUCACCAAGGCGACGAUCCCUAGCUGGUCUGAGAGGAUGAUCAGCCACACUGGAACUGAGACACGGUCCAGACUCCUACGGGAGGCAGCAGUGGGGAAUAUUGCACAAUGGGCGAAAGCCUGAUGCAGCCAUGCCGCGUGUAUGAAGAAGGCCUUCGGGUUGUAAAGUACUUUCAGUUGUGAGGAAGGGGGUAGCGUUAAUAGCGCUAUCUCUUGACGUUAGCAACAGAAGAAGCACCGGCUAACUCCGUGCCAGCAGCCGCGGUAAUACGGAGGGUGCGAGCGUUAAUCGGAAUUACUGGGCGUAAAGCGCAUGCAGGUGGUUCAUUAAGUCAGAUGUGAAAGCCCGGGGCUCAACCUCGGAACUGCAUUUGAAACUGGUGAACUAGAGUACUGUAGAGGGGGGUAGAAUUUCAGGUGUAGCGGUGAAAUGCGUAGAGAUCUGAAGGAAUACCAGUGGCGAAGGCGGCCCCCUGGACAGAUACUGACACUCAGAUGCGAAAGCGUGGGGAGCAAACAGGAUUAGAUAACCUG
rnacentral:rRNA from 1 species